rnacentral:rRNA from 1 species
AACAACGCUGGCGGCGUGCUUACACAUGCAAGUCGAGUGCGCGUGCCGUAGCAAUACGGUAUGGCGCACGGCGCACGGGUGCGUAACACGUGGGCAAUCUGCCCUCCGGUGGGGAAUAACCCCGCGAAAGCGGGGCUAAUUCCGCAUAACAUUCCCUGGACUUCGGUUCGGGGAUUCAAAGCAGCAAUGCGCCGGAGGAGGAGCCCGCGCCCGAUUAGCUAGUUGGUGAGGUAACGGCUCACCAAGGCAAUGAUCGGUAGCUGGUCUGAGAGGAUGGCCAGCCACACUGGAACUGAGACACGGUCCAGACUCCUACGGGAGGCAGCAGUGGGGAAUCUUGCGCAAUGGGCGAAAGCCUGACGCAGCGACGCCGCGUGGGGGAUGAAGCUUUUCGGAGUGUAAACCCCUUUCGACCGGGACGAAUGCCCGCAAGGGAGUGACGGUACCGGUAGAAGAAGCCCCGGCUAACUACGUGCCAGCAGCCGCGGUAAGACGUAGGGGGCCAGCGUUGUUCGGAAUUACUGGGUGUAAAGGGUUCGU